UGGGGAAUUUUCCGCAAUGGGCGAAAGCCUGACGGAGCAACGCCGCGUGAGGGAUGAAGGCCUCUGGGCUGUAAACCUCUUUUAUCAAGGAAGAAGAUCUGACGGUACUUGAUGAAUAAGCCACGGCUAAUUCCGUGCCAGCAGCCGCGGUAAUACGGGAGUGGCAAGCGUUAUCCGGAAUUAUUGGGCGUAAAGCGUCCGCAGGCGGCCCUUCAAGUCUGCUGUUAAAAAGUGGAGCUUAACUCCAUCAUGGCAGUGGAAACUGUUGGGCUUGAGUGUGGUAGGGGCAGAGGGAAUUCCCGGUGUAGCGGUGAAAUGCGUAGAUAUCGGGAAGAACACCAGUGGCGAAGGCGCUCUGCUGGGCC
rnacentral:rRNA from 1 species